rnacentral:rRNA from 2 species
GAACGCUGGCGGCAGGCCUAACACAUGCAAGUCGAGCGGAUGAGUGGAGCUUGCUCCAUGAUUCAGCGGCGGACGGGUGAGUAAUGCCUAGGAAUCUGCCUGGUAGUGGGGGACAACGUUUCGAAAGGAACGCUAAUACCGCAUACGUCCUACGGGAGAAAGUGGGGGAUCUUCGGACCUCACGCUAUCAGAUGAGCCUAGGUCGGAUUAGCUAGUUGGUGAGGUAAAGGCUCACCAAGGCGACGAUCCGUAACUGGUCUGAGAGGAUGAUCAGUCACACUGGAACUGAGACACGGUCCAGACUCCUACGGGAGGCAGCAGUGGGGAAUAUUGGACAAUGGGCGAAAGCCUGAUCCAGCCAUGCCGCGUGUGUGAAGAAGGUCUUCGGAUUGUAAAGCACUUUAAGUUGGGAGGAAGGGCAGUAAGUUAAUACCUUGCUGUUUUGACGUUACCAACAGAAUAAGCACCGGCUAACUUCGUGCCAGCAGCCGCGGUAAUACGAAGGGUGCAAGCGUUAAUCGGAAUUACUGGGCGUAAAGCGCGCGUAGGUGGUUCGUUAAGUUGGAUGUGAAAGCCCCGGGCUCAACCUGGGAACUGCAUCCAAAACUGGCGAGCUAGAGUAUGGCAGAGGGUGGUGGAAUUUCCUGUGUAGCGGUGAAAUGCGUAGAUAUAGGAAGGAACACCAGUGGCGAAGGCGACCACCUGGGCUAAUACUGACACUGAG